rnacentral:miRNA from 1 species
UGUGUAUAUAUAACAACACACACACACACACUAUAUAUAUAUAUAUAGUGUGUGUGUGUGUGUGUUGUUAUAUAUACACAUA